GUGGCGGGCUGGAUGAUCGCGUGCGUGAGAUCGAUCGCGCUCGAGGAACGUCCGGGCUCCAUGGGCACGCUGCCAGGUAACGCCUGGGCGGCCGGGCAACCGGCCGACGGACAGGGUCACAGAAAACAGACCGCCAGCCCGAAAGGGCUGGUAAGGGUGAAACGGCGGGGUAAGAGCCCACCGCGCCGGCGGCGACGCCCGGCGGCACGACAACCCCCAGCGGGAGCAAGGCCAAGUAAGCGGCGAGAGGCGCCCACCUCGACCAAGACGCCGCGGGUCGGCUGCUGGAGUCGCCGGGUGACCGGCGACCGAGAGGAAUGAUCAUCCGGGCCUCACGGCCCGACAGAACCCGGCGUACAGGCCCGUCACGAGC
rnacentral:RNase_P_RNA from 1 species